GAGUUUGAUCGUGGCUCAGAAUGAACGCUGGCGGCAUGCCUAACACAUGCAAGUCGAACGAAACCUUCGGGUUUAGUGGCGCACGGGUGCGUAACGCGUGGGAAUCUGCCCCUUGGUUCGGAAUAACAGCGAGAAAUUGCUGCUAAUACCGGAUGAUGACGUAAGUCCAAAGAUUUAUCGCCGAGGGAUGAGCCCGCGUAGGAUUAGCUAGUUGGUGUGGUAAAGGCGCACCAAGGCGACGAUCCUUAGCUGGUCUGAGAGGAUGAUCAGCCACACUGGGACUGAGACACGGCCCAGACUCCUACGGGAGGCAGCAGUGGGGAAUAUUGGACAAUGGGCGAAAGCCUGAUCCAGCAAUGCCGCGUGAGUGAUGAAGGCCUUAGGGUUGUAAAGCUCUUUACCCGGGAUGAUAAUGACAGUACCGGGAGAAUAAGCUCCGGCUAACUCCGUGCCAGCCGCCGCAGUAACAC
rnacentral:rRNA from 1 species